CCUACGGGCGGCUGCAGUGGGGAAUAUUGCACAAUGGGGGAAACCCUGAUGCAGCGACGCCGCGUGAGUGAAGAAGUAUUUCGGUACGUAAAGCUCUAUCAGCAGGGAAGAAAAUGACGGUACCUGACUAAGAAGCCCCGGCUAACUACGUGCCAGCAGCCGCGGUAAUACGUAGGGGGCAAGCGUUAUCCGGAUUUACUGGGUGUAAAGGGAGCGUAGACGGCAGCGCAAGUCUGGAGUGAAAUCCCAUGGCUUAACCAUGGAACUGCUUUGGAAACUGUGCAGCUAGAGUGCAGGUGAGGUAAGCGGAAUUCCUAGGGUAGCGGUGAAAUGCGUAGAUAUUAGGAGGAACACCAGUGGCGAAGGCGGCUUACUGGACUGUAACUGACGUUGAGGCUCGAAAGCGUGGGGAGCAAACAGGAUUAGAUACCCCUGUAGUC
rnacentral:rRNA from 1 species